AUGUUUUCUCCUUAUCAUUCAGAUCCUGCUGAGAUAUCAUCAUUGUAUUAUUCUGCAAAUCAUCAGUUUGUGGAAGUUUUAAAGAAAUGGUUGUCUUAUGACGUUUUAUAUAGACACAGGGGGCUGUUGUAUUUGGCCUUAAGAGUAUACUGCGGCAAAACCUUUGGGGUGGUCCUUUUCUCCAGGCUCCUAUAAUUACGACUGGCUUGACAGAUAUCCCCAUCACAUGAUGCAGCCACCACGUUUCACCAUCGGGAUACUAUUUUGCAUUGAUAGCUUUUCACGGUACGUAAUAGUUUGGUUCCAUUGGAGCUGAGAGACCCUUUCUCCAUGUAUUUGCUGUGUCUUCCACAUGCUUUAAUAUUGGUUUUUCUUUUCAUUGCUCUUCCAUUAAGCUUAGCUUUGUGAAGUGUUCAUAUGAUUAUUGUGCCAUGUAGGAGUUUUCUCAUCUGGGCUCCUUCACAGUUAUUUGGUUGUUUCUUUGAUUAAGUACCUCCCCCCCCCCCCCCACUUUGUUAUUGAGUUUAGGUGGAUGGUCAUUUCCAAGCAGACCAUAGCAGAAAAAAGGGGAUUAUUACCUAACCUGUAUCAAAUAGAAAUUAAUGAACAUAAGAAAUUAAACAUACCAUAUAUCAAUGGUAAAAUUAUUAUAGCAUUUUAAAAGAUUCAAAAAUAAUCCACAUACAAAUAAAUAUAUCGCUGAAAAUAUAAAUCACACUAUUCAAGAGAGUAAAUUAGACUGAAGUCCUUGGAAGAGGAA
rnacentral:lncRNA from 11 species